UUCAAGAUAGUGGGGCUGGUCCGAUGUCAGAAUACCAUUUGAUAUUAUAUAAUUUACUGGACCUGAUAAAGGGAGUACGAUAGCAUAAUGUGCAGCUGCAGACCUGAGAAUCCAGUGGACUGGAUGGGCCAUAUCAGGAGCUCUCAAAACAGAGAAGUUUUAUGAUAUAGCAGGCUUGGAACAUUCCUUUUCAUGCGGAUCGUGAAGGACGGCCAGGAUCGCAGGUAUAACCAUGUGAGACAGCCCUGGGAUAUUCUUUGUGUACUGGAAUGUUCAAGUUGUCUGGGUGUUUGACGCGCUUGCCCACCCUCAUGCUUAACAGUGAGCAGCGAGAUGAGCCCUUGGGCCUGAGGGACUAUCUGGGCUGGGGGAUAUGGAGCCGUGCCUUUGUCACAGAGGCCAUCACAAGUGGCUCUUCAAAGGGAACCCAGAUAAUGCUGGAAUAGCCUCAAUCCAGCCUCCCCAGGGAAAGUUCAUCCAGAGCGAGCUGUGGGGUGACAGCCAGCACCCUAACUACCUUGGGGA